UCCAGCCACAUCACGUUGAAAUAACCGGUUCCCAUACGAUCACUGAAGUGAAGCAACGUCAAGUUUGGUCAGUAGCUAGAUGGGAGAAUGCUUGGGAAUACCAGGUGCUGUAAG